rnacentral:rRNA from 1 species
CGUAGAGUGUUGGGUUAAGUCCCGUAACGAGCGCAACCCUUGUCCUUAGUUACCAGCACGUUAUGGUGGGCACUCUAAGGAGACUGCCGGUGACAAACCGGAGGAAGGUGGGGAUGACGUCAAGUCAUCAUGGCCCUUACGGCCUGGGCUACACACGUGCUACAAUGGUCGGUACAAAGGGUUGCCAAGCCGCGAGGUGGAGCUAAUCCCAUAAAACCGAUCGUAGUCCGGAUCGCAGUCUGCAACUCGACUGCGUGAAGUCGGAAUCGCUAGUAAUCGUGAAUCAGAAUGUCACGGUGAAUACGUUCCCGGGCCUU